CGAAAUCCAAUCCACGAAAUAAUUUGAUCUAUGGACAGCAUCAUUGUGGUAAAGGUCGUAAUGCCAGAGGAAUCAUUACCGCAAGGCAUAAAGGGGGAGGUCAUAAGUGUCUAUACCGUAAAAUCGAUUUUCGACGGAAUGAAAAAGACUAUUUAUUUGAGAUCUUGAUAAGGUGAAUACCCAGUCUAUUCAAUGCUAGGCAUAAUGAGUAUAAGGACCUCAAAAAAAUCUCUUUUCGUCAUAUGAACUUUAAGGUGUAUGAAGUUUCAUAUUUUAUUUUCGCCAAAAGUCCAAUCCAUCUACGAACACCGUUCUGUCUUUCAAGACUUCCGAUCCUCGCUUAUCCUUCACUUCAUUCUUUUUCUUUCUGAAGUUUCGAUGUAAAGAUUCCUCUACCAACGCAUUUAACUCCAUUUGUUAGAAUAGCUUCCAUUGAGUCUCUGCACCUAUCCUUUUUUUCUGAACCUUUGUUUGUUUUCGGAAAACAGGAUUUGGCCUGCGGUGCGGUAAGGCACCACCCUGUUGUGCCAGCAGCCAACGCUGAGCUUGCCGUUAAAGAGUAAGAUGCUGAUUCUAUAGGAAUUUUCAUCUCAAGAUUUAGAAGAUCUUGCGUUGGUAUAUUCCUUAUUAUUAUUAUUUAGCAAAGCUAUCGAAGAAGAGGAAUAGAAAGGUUCAUAAUAAGCUAAUAAGCUUUCGCCCGGAAACUCAACAAAUUCGACCCCGCAUUGUUCACAAAAUUUCGGGUCUUCUUUUUCAUCUCCGAUUACUCGAUAAGCAGAGGGGCUCCUUCCCGUGUAGCCGGCCACAACGUGCUUCCUCUCGAACAGAGCUCCUCGCAGAAAUUCCAGAUCAUUGAAGAGGAAUAAAAAAAAAUGGUAGUUUCGUAGGUUCAAUUCCUACUGGAUGCACGUGAUUCGAACCAGGGGAGGAUCUUCCACCUUGUUGGUCAUAGCACCAGUACUUGGAUCCUUUCCGCGUUCGAGAAUCCCCCCUUCUUCCACUCCGCCUCGAAGAGUAACUAGGACGAAUUUUGGAAGUCAAAUCAUUUCACGGGCCUGGUGAAAUGAAAAACUACGAAGAGGAAUUCACAUUGAACUAUCCAUGUGGCUGAGAGCCCUCACAACCCAGCUACCUUGUUACGACUUCACUCCAGUCACUAGCCCUGCAUUCUAAAAUAAAUAAAAUCAGAUAAGCUUUACCGUUUGAAACCUCGAUUCAAACAUUGAAAUUGAAGCCGGAAUCGCUAGUAAUCGCCGGUCAGCCAUACCCCGGAAUAGCAGAAAUAGGUUCGUGUUCCGCUUCCAAAGUCAGUCGUCUUUGCCCAAGGGCUUGGCCAGUUACUCGAGAUUCUCGAUUAUUGUAUUUACAAAAUACCGUCUCAAUUCAUCCUAUUUCAUCAGAUCCGGGAUGUGAUAUGGUUCCGAAGGAUGAACCGGAUUCUCAAAAUACUUCAAUUGGUACACGCAAGAAAUAGGCUAAUUCAGCAGCCUUUUGUUCAAUUUCUCGUGGAGUCAAAUUCUCAUCAGUACGAGUCUUAUCUUUCUCAUUCACUCUAUUCUUUUAGAAAUGGAUUUGAGCUAUUGCAAUUCUUUUCCUGAUAGCGGGUCACAUGUAUAGGACCAGCUCCAUCUACAAAUGGAUAAGAUCCCAGUCUAGUUUAUAGGAGGUUUUGAAAAGAAAGGACCCUUGAAUUGAAGUGAUGAGGUCGGAAAGAGGGGGAAGCUUUUAUUUUGUUAUAUCAUCAGGGUAAUGAUCCAUCAACCUGCCUUGGGUUACUAAUUGGUGGAAUACUGGGCAAUCCGAAAUCUUUUUGAAUAAUAUUCAAGAAAAGAGUCUUCUAGAAAGUCCCGCGUAAGCCUUUGGAAGCAAACAAUCGUAAAAAGGAAAAAUCGAGAAGUAGUCUAAGGAUCCAACUUUCGAUUCACUCGUGGGAUCCGGGCGGUCCGGGGGGGACCACCACGGCUCCUCUCUUCUCGAGAAUCCAUACGGUUGACUCUGUCUUUUUAACAUCCUUGAUCUUGAUUUGUUUCCCCAUUUUUUUCAUUCUAGUUAUUGUCAUGGGAAGGAAUGAAGAAGAUUAGAGAUCCAAUCAAAUAUUGGUGAUGAAUUCAAACUAGUGGUUGGUUAAUGAGACUCCUAACUUAAUUUAGAUUGGAAAACAAAACGCAAUGGGAGACUUGCUCCAUAGAACCCCCCCCCCCCCCCAGAGACUUUCGUCCCCAGAUCAGGGCUCAAGUGAUUCACCGAAGCGACGAGACCUUGAAAGCUGCUUUUUCAAGUGUCAGUAGCUUCUAUGAUCGAUCGAUAUAAACAUCAACAGCUCCGAAUUGGAUCAGUUUCUCCUCAACAAAUAAGUGCUUGGGCCACUAAAAUCCUACCUAAUGGAGAGAUAGUUGGAGAGGUAACAAACCAUUUUCAUUGUUACUGUUCCGGCUGUUAAAAUUAGAUCCGCUUGUCUAGGACUCAAUCUUGGUACUAGUCCAUAACGAUCAAAGUCGAAGCGUGAGCCUAUUAGUGAAGCAACAAAGAGAUGGUUGAAUCAAAAAAAUUUGUUUAAAGUUCAACUUUUUCAGAGGGCAAGGCAAUAUGAAUGUUCUAUCAUGUUCCAUCAAUACUCUAAAGGGGUUAUACGAUAUAUCCGGUGUGGAAGUAGGCCAACAUUUCUAUUGGCAAAUAGGGGGUUUCCAAGUACUUAAGUCCCGCAACGAGCGCAACCCUCGUGUUUAGUUGCCAUCGUUGAGUUUGGAACCCUGAACAGACUGCCGGUGAUAAGCCGGAGGAAGGUGAGGAUGACGUCAAGUCAUCAUGG
rnacentral:lncRNA from 1 species